rnacentral:rRNA from 1 species
UACGUAGGGGGGCAAGCGUUGUCCGGAUUUAUUGGGCGUAAAGAGCGUGUAGGCGGCCAGACAGGUCAGCUGUGAAAACUCGAGGCUCAACCUCGAGACGUCGGUUGAAACCGUCUGGCUAGAGUCCGGAAGAGGAGAGUGGAAUUCCUGGUGUAGCGGUGAAAUGCGCAGAUAUCAGGAAGAACACCCGUGGCGAAGGCGGCUCUCUGGGACGGUACUGACGCUGAGACGCGAAAGCGUGGGGAGCGAACAGG